rnacentral:rRNA from 1 species
GACGAACGCUGGCGGCGUGCUUAACACAUGCAAGUCGAACGGAAAGGCCCUGCUUUUGUGGGGUGCUCGAUUGGCGAAGGGGUGAGUAACACGUGAGUAACCUCCCCUUGACUUUGUGAUAACUUCUGGAAACUGGGGCUAAUACCGGAUAUGAUCUCCUGCUGCAUGUUGGUGGUUGGAAAGUUUCGGCGUUUGGGGAUGGAUUCGCGGCUUAUCAGCUUGUUUGUUGGGUAGUGGCUUACCAAGGCUUUGAGGGGUAGCCGGCCUGAGAGGGUGACCGGGCACAUUGGGACUGAGAUACGGCCCAGACUCCUACGGGACGCAGCAGUGGGGAAUUUUGCAGAAUGGGCGGAAGCCUGAUGCAGAAACGCCGCGUGCGGGAUGACGGCUUUCGGGUUGUAAACCGAUUUCGACUGUGACGAAGAGUGAGUGACGGUACUGGGUAAAGAAGCCACGGCUAACUACGUG